rfam:Oryza barthii chromosome 12, whole genome shotgun sequence.
AAUAAACUCUGAGUUUAUGUGUUCAAUGUUUGACCGUUCAUCUUAUUUAAAAAAAUUAAAAAGACAAGUCACGCAUAUAGUAUUAAUCAUGAUUUAUCAUCUAACAACAAUAAAAAUAAUAAUUAUAAAAAAAUCCAUAUAAGACGGAUAGUUAAACGUUGGAUACGGAAAUCUAGGGUUUAUCAUUUU